ACCGCUUAAAACAUUUUCUUACCCACGUUUCUUUACUCUGCAAAAACCAAAAACCUCAAACCUAAGACUCUCCAUAGACGGAAAAACCUACCACAAUCCUUUACGCGACGGCGAUUUACGGUGGUGGCGGCGUUUUUUUUUUUCCUGUGGUGGUUCUUCCGACAGAAUUUCGAAUUCCAUGGUAGCUACUGUCAAGACCUCAAAACUUGGGGUUUCAAGCUUGUAAGUAUAUCAGUAACACAGGUAAUGCGUCUUGCUGACCAGCAAUUUCUGAGUUUACACUGUACUUUUCAGUUUGUCAGUUUUCAAGUUAUGACAAAGAGCAGAUUGACGAAGUAAGAACCGAAUGGGUGCGCCAUGUUGUUCAACAAUUGUAUAAUUGCUCGGUUUUGUUGAAGGAAUUAACAAACAUAAGACUCGAUUGAUUAAUGUAUUUUACGUAGUUUAAUGUUUAGAAUUUUAGUAUAGAUCUAUGUAAUUUGUUUUAUUAGGGUGACAAUUGCAAAAAUUCUUUUAAUUGAGGUUUGAAAAUUAAUUUUCAACUAUUUACUAUUCUUCAA